AAUAGAUACCCCGGUAGUCCACGCCGUAAACGAUGAGUGCUAAGUGUUGGGGGGUUUCCGCCCCUCAGUGCUGCAGCUAACGCAUUAAGCACUCCGCCUGGGGAGUACGGUCGCAAGACUGAAACUCAAAGGAAUUGACGGGGGCCCGCACAAGCGGUGGAGCAUGUGGUUUAAUUCGAAGCAACGCGAAGAACCUUACCAGGUCUUGACAUCCCGGUGACCACUAUGGAGACAUAGUUUCCCCUUCGGGGGCAACGGUGACAGGUGGUGCAUGGUUGUCGUCAGCUCGUGUCGUGAGAUGUUGGGUUAAGUCCCGCAACGAGCGCAACCCUUAUUCUUAGUUGCCAUCAUUUAGUUGGGCACUCUAAGGAGACUGCCGGUGAUAAACCGGAGAAGGUGGGGAUGACGUCAAAUCAUCAUGCCCCUUAUGACCUGGGCUACACACGUGCUACAAUGGACGGUACAAACGGUUGCCAACCGCGAGGGGGAGCUAAUCCGAUAAAACCGUUCUCAGUUCGGAUUGUAGGCUACAACUCGCCUACAUGAAGCCGGU
rnacentral:rRNA from 1 species